rnacentral:rRNA from 1 species
UACGUAGGGUGCGAGCGUUAAUCGGAAUUACUGGGCGUAAAGCGUGCGCAGGCGGUUUUGUAAGCCAGAUGUGAAAUCCCCGGGCUUAACCUGGGAAUGGCAUUUGGGACUGCAAGGCUUGAGUGCGGCAGAGGAGACUGGAAUUCCUGGUGUAGCAGUGAAAUGCGUAGAUAUCAGGAGGAACACCGAUGGCGAAGGCAGGUCUCUGGGCUGACACUGACGCUCAUGCACGAAAGCGUGGGAG